CUCUGUGACUCCUACGGGAGGCAGCAGUGGGGAAUAUUGCACAAUGGGCGCAAGCCUGAUGCAGCAACGCCGUGUGAGUGAAGAAGGUUUUCGGAUCGUAAAACUCUGUCCUAAGGGAAGAAACAAAUGACGGUACCUUAGGAGGAAGCCCCGGCUAACUACGUGCCAGCAGCCGCGGUAAUACGUAGGGGGCAAGCGUUAUCCGGAAUCACUGGGCGUAAGGGGUGCGUAGGCGGCUUAGCAAGCCAGGGGUGAAAGGCAUUGGCUCAACCAAUGUAAGCCUUUGGAACUGUUAAGCUUGAGUGCAGGAGAGGUAAGUGGAAUUCCUAGUGUAGAGGUGAAAUUCGUAGAUAUUAGGAGGAACACCAGUGGCGAAGGCGACUUACUGGACUGUAACUGACGCUGAUGCACGAAAGCGUGGGUAGCGAACAGGAUUAGAUACCCUGGUAG
rnacentral:rRNA from 1 species